rnacentral:rRNA from 1 species
AUUGAACGCUGGCGGCAUGCUCUACACAUGCAAGUCGAACGGUAACAGGCCGCAAGGUGCUGACGAGUGGCGAACGGGUGAGUAAUGCAUCGGAACGUGCCCAGUCGUGGGGGAUAACUACUCGAAAGAGUAGCUAAUACCGCAUACGAUCUAUGGAUGAAAGCGGGGGACCGUAAGGCCUCGCGCGAUUGGAGCGGCCGAUGUCAGAUUAGGUAGUUGGUGGGGUAAAGGCUCACCAAGCCAACGAUCUGUAGCUGGUCUGAGAGGACGACCAGCCACACUGGGACUGAGACACGGCCCAGACUCCUACGGGAGGCAGCAGUGGGGAAUUUUGGACAAUGGGCGCAAGCCUGAUCCAGCAAUGCCGCGUGCAGGAAGAAGGCCUUCGGGUUGUAAACUGCUUUUGUACGGAACGAAACGGCUCUGGUUAAUACCCGGGGCUAAUGACGGUACCGUAAGAAUAAGCACCGGCUAACUUCGUG